CCUACGGGUGGCUGCAGUGGGGAAUAUUGCACAAUGGGGGAAACCCUGAUGCAGCGACGCCGCGUGAGUGAAGAAGUACUUCGUUACGUAAAGCUCUAUCAGCAGGGGAGAAAAUGACGGUACCUGAGUAAGAAGCUCCGGCUAACUAAGUGACAGAAGCGGCGGUAAUACGGAGGGGGCAAGCGUUAUCCGGAUUUACUGGGUGUAAAGGGAGCGUAGAUGGUGCGCAAAGUGUGGAGUGAAAUUCCGCAGCGUAACUGCGGAACUGCUAUGGACACUGGCGAACUAGAGUUCGGGAGGGGUAAGCGGAAUUCGUGGUGUAGCGGUGAAAUGCGUAGAUAUUAGGAAGAACUCCGAUGGCGAAGGCGGCUUACUGGACCGUAACUGACGUUGAUGCUCGAAAGCGUGGGGAUCAAACAGGAUUAGAUACCCGAGUAGUC
rnacentral:rRNA from 1 species